UACGUAGGGGGCAAGCGUUGUCCGGAAUCAUUGGGCGUAAAGAGCGUGUAGGCGGUCCGGUCAGUCGGUUGUGAAAGUCAAGGGCUCAACCCUUGAAUGCCGGCCGAUACUGCCGGGCUAGAGUCCGGAAGAGGUGAGUGGAAUUCCUGGUGUAGCGGUGAAAUGCGCAGAUAUUGGGAGGAACACCAGUGGCGAAGGCGGUCCCCUGGGCCGGAACUGACGCUGAGGCGCGAAAGCGUGGGUAGCAAACGGG
rnacentral:rRNA from 1 species